AUGUCGACGUCGUCGGGGGCCAAGGAGGCGCCGGCCAACAACCCGGGCCUUCAGGCCGAGGUCGACCCCGCCACCAAGGGCUACUUCAUGCAGCAGACAGGAGUUUUGUGGCUGGAUUUGGCCGAAGCAAUCUGUCGAACAGUUGGUGGUCCGUACGUGCUUGCUGUGGCAGUGGCAUUGUGCAGUAUCAGCAAUCUUCGCAAUCGUGCAGACAAAAGCAAGCGGUUGCCUCCAAUUUACAAGGUUUCAAAACCUGUGUAUGCAUCCCCUAGCCGUGUAAAUUUCCGCCUUGAUCAAAGAAAGGCUGUAGAGACAGUACCUGCAUAUCCGAACAUUUAUUUCUCAGUUGAUGACUUCGAUGAUCCUUUUGAUGCUGUGGUUUUGUCAGACCCAGAACACUGCUAUUGUGUGAUUCUCAAUGUGCAUGAUGGGGCAGCAUUUCCUGAAAAAAGCGAAUCAAGCAAUGUCGGUUCAAAUAUACAAUCUGGGAUCAACUCUGGGAGCAGUGGAGAGAACCCACCAAAGUUAUAUGUUGUUAUACGAGAUCCAUAUGGUCAAACAUACAACUUCCGAAGCUUGAAAGGAAGAAAGGCUGGAUUUUCAAAUGGCGGCAUAGACAAGUUUGAAACGAGAAAAGAAGCAAGGCUUCAAUCACUUGCCGGGUUUUCAAAUGGCGGCAUAGACAACUUCGAAACAAGAAAAGAAGCAAGGCUUCUAUCACUUAUUGAUAAUGCUAUUUAA
rnacentral:rRNA from 1 species